UGGUUCGCCUGGGUAGGUUUGAAGACCGUAGGCCGACAUUCUUGCAAAAAAUACAACCGCAACAAGUGCAGUUCACUGUUUGCUUUGAAUUGGCCCCCAUGUUUGCUGUGCGUGUGUGUGUGUGUGUGUGUGUGUGUGUGUGUGUGUGUGUGUGUGUGUGUGUGUGUUUUAACAAAUGCUUGUGUGUGUGUUUCUGUGCUGGUCAGCACUUCCCACUGUGCCUGAAGAUACCAUCUCCACCUCCUCAGCUCAUACAGUGUCUGGUGCUUCAUCUGUGACUGCUCCCUCAUUGGACAGCGAGGACACUUACCUGUGCGAGUGUGGUCGCAAGACAGCUUGCAAGAAAUGUCAACAUCUCCUACAAGAAAAUCAGAAACUACGCCGGGAGCUCAGCACGCUAAAAAGUCACAAAUAAAGAGACUGAGAAUCUCCACAUUUGACCUCCCCGUCUCACUUGUCCAAAUUUAUGACGACUAUGAUGACUGAUUUUACAUGAAUAAAGAAAUGUAAUGUUUUUUUCCAAGCAGAGAAGCUUUUGUUGUCAUAAAUAUUAUAUGGGGUAAAUGGACUGCAUUUAUAUAGCAUAUAUAUAUAUAUAUUCAACUCAUAGAGCACUCAAAGCGCUUUACAGAUGAACGCCUCAGACAUCAUUCAUACACCGAUGGCAGAGUCUGCUAUCUAAGUUGCCUAUCUAAGUCUAUAUUACUGUUUGAAGUUCUGCCUGGUCCUGAAGCCCCAAUGCAUUAUUGACACACUGGGAGUCAUUGGCUGUGAUAGACGUUCUGAGAACUACACAAAUCCUCAUUUUCUUUUUUUCCAUAUUUUCUGGAUUCCAAGUAAUUGCACUAUUGGUACAAACAUGUUGCCAGAGUAUGCUACUCGACACACUGGCCAUUAACUUUGCCUUGUGUGCCGAAAUAUUAUAUCUAAUAUUAUAUUCUCCACUUUC
ensembl:lncRNA